CACAAGCGGUGGAGCAUGUGGUUUAAUUCGACGCAACGCGAAGAACCUUACCAGGGCUUGACAUCCCCUGACCGCGUAUGAAAGUACGUUUUCACCCUCGGGUGACAGGGAGACAGGUGGUGCAUGGUUGUCGUCAGCUCGUGUCGUGAGAUGUUGGGUUAAGUCCCGCAACGAGCGCAACCCCUACGUUUAGUUGCUAACGCGUGAAGGCGAGCACUCUAGACGAACUGCCGUUGACAAAACGGAGGAAGUGGGAUGACGUCAAAUCAUCAUGCCCCUUAUGUUCUGGGCUACACACGUGCUACAAUGGCCGGUACAGACGGACGCAAAGCCGCGAGGUGGAGCAAAUCCUAAAAAGCCGGUCUCAGUUCGGAUUGCAGGCUGCAAUUCGCCUGCAUGAAGUCGGAAUCGCUAGUAAUCGCAGGUCAGCAUACUGCGGUGAAUACGUUCCCGGGCCUU
rnacentral:rRNA from 1 species